AUUGAACGCUGGCGGUAUGCUUUACACAUGCAAGUCGAACGGCAGCACGGGAGCAAUCCUGGUGGCGAGUGGCGAACGGGUGAGUAAUAUAUCGGAACGUGUCCAGUAGUGGGGGAUAGCCCGGCGAAAGCCGGAUUAAUACCGCAUACGACCUACGGGUGAAAGCGGGGGAUCGCAAGACCGCGCUCUAUUGGAGCGGCCGAUAUCAGAUUAGGUAGUUGGUGGGGUAAAAGCCUACCAAGCCUGCGAUCUGUAGCUGGUCUGAGAGGACGACCAGCCACACUGGGACUGAGACACGGCCCAGACUCCUACGGGAGGCAGCAGUGGGGAAUUUUGGACAAUGGGGGCAACCCUGAUCCAGCCAUACCGCGUGCAGGAAGAAGGCCUUCGGGUUGUAAACUGCUUUUGUCAGAGAAGAAAUCUUUUGGGCUAAUACCUCGGAAGGAUGACGGUAUCUGAAGAAUAAGCACCGGCUAACUACGUGCCAGCCGCCGCGGUAAUAC
rnacentral:rRNA from 1 species